rnacentral:piRNA from 1 species
UGGCAAGCUUUUGUCGCACCCCUUCAUUGA